ensembl:lincRNA
UGGACAUAUUAUUUCAUGCUGCAUUAAACGGAUGUUUCACUAUCUGGUCUGAGGAUAUGAUGACUCUUAGCCCAAGCUGCACCAUUUUGUAAACCCCCGCCAUUUUGCAAACCCAGGUCAGAGUGGAAAAUUCCCCUAGGGCUCAGGCUGUGAGAAACAUCCUGCCGGGUAAGUCCUAAGCCCAACCGCCUGAUCUCAGGAAAUUCCUCACUUAGCAACAGCUAACCACCCUGCCCACCCCACUUCACAACAAGCCCAGAUCUCUCCCACCUGGACCUAAACUUACCCAGUCUGUAAGCGGGGGCGGGCUCUGGCGCUAGUUGGUGUGCCCCUCCGCGAGUGUUUGUUCCGUAAACCUGUGUUGCUGUAGAGCCGCCUCCGUCCGUUUUUCCUCCCGUUCCCGCGCUAACAAUGACAUUAUACCAAAUGUAACUGGAAUUAUGUCAGUUGGACAGAACUUCACAUGAAAUGGUGCAUGAUACAAAUCCUUAAGAAUGUGCAGGUCACUGUCCCGUAGUAGUGAAAGGGGGAACCAGGAAGAAGAACUUGAUAACAGGACCUUGCAUAAUUAAUCGAUUGAUCACUGAACUUCAUUGUCAUAUUUCUACAGUCAAAUUUGGGAGAAAGCUGUCACAAUUUCAUCAGAGUGUAGCAAUGCCCGAGUUGUAACUGAGUUCCAUCUGGGUGAGCAGCCA